rnacentral:sRNA from 1 species
UGCCGAUAACGUCCGCUUCUUUUCACGCC